rnacentral:rRNA from 1 species
AUGAGGAACUUUCGAGGUCAUAACCCUGAGAAAGGGAUGGUUCAUCCUCGCAAGCGUUCAAGAAAGAGGCUUAUUACUAGUGACAGUGAUGAUGAUGAUGACUAUACUGACAAGGAUUACUCAAUUGAAGAAGACGCAUCAAAGCAGCUUGUCCUCUAUGAUCCGCAGACCACACGUCGCCAGCAAAGGGAAUUCCAAGUAGCCGAGCCCAUAUAUGACUCUACUCCACUGCAGCAAAUACCCCCGAAGACAAAGUAUGGUGGACACUCCAGAGUUUUACCAUCUAUUGGGCACUAUACUGUACAGUGCGCCCAGUGCUUCAAAUGGAGGGUCGUUCCAACAAAGGAGAAAUAUGAAGAGCUGCGUGAGACUAUUUCCGAGGAACUUUUUGUGUGUGCAAGGGCUCGUGAAUGGAACCGUGUUUUAUCAUGUGAUGAUCCAGAAGAUAUGUCACAAGAUGGAAGUAGGGUGUGGGCAAUUGACAAGCCAAACAUUGCCCAGACUCCUGUUGGCUGGAAUAGGGAGGUCAGAAUCAGGGGGGAGGGUUGCAGCAAGUUUGCAGAUGUGUAUUACACUUCUCCAGCUGGGACAACGUUGAGGUCAAUGGUUGAAAUUGAGAGGUACUUGGCAGAGAAUCCAUUCUACGUUCGACAAGGGGUUUAUUUAGGCCAGUUCUCGUUUGCUACCCCAAAGCCUCUGCAAGAAGAUUAUGUCAGGAAGCGUAAAUAUUCAGCAACAACUCGUGAAUUGCCGGACAUUCUUGAGCCAGUUGAAGUGAACCCACUGUGCUGGGCAGCGCCUCCUACCCGCAGAGAGCAGCUUCAGAUGGGGGCUUCAGCUUCAAACCCCGUCGACCUCGACGGCGAACCUGAGGUGUUUGAAGCACCACCCAUGCACACCAACAGGAGAAAUCUGAAUCAAGCGAUGCCGUCAUGGAGCGGGCGCAAGAAGAGAGCGGCGUCGUCUGAAGAGCCCAAGAAGAGAACCAUGCAGCAAGCUUCGGCGUCGAUCCGUCCACCGUCUCCACCCAGCUGGCCACGCCGCGGCCAGCCUCAGCGGUUUCCCAGCGACGUCGAGCACGUGCUGUUGUGA